UUUCAAAUACAAUUAGUGUAGGCCUAAUGUAAUUUAAGAUGAUAUUUCUUCGAGUCCAUUACAAUUAAAUGUCUAUAGAUAGCUUGGCAUCGUACAGCAUUUGCUGUGAAUGUUCUGGAUCUUAGAAGAGUAAAUUUGGCUCAUGGAUAUGGGGAACAUCUAGGGCAAAGUGCUGGACAUGGUGCUGUCACCAUGGAAACCAAUAAUAUAUUUCUAUUCCAAGUUUAGUACUGUGCUUUGGAAUAGCUCUUUGUGCAAAUGGUUUAUUAUAAUAUAAGCAGCCCUAUGCUUCAGAUCCAAAUAUUAGAUUUUACCAUGUCAGAAUUAAACCAAUAGCUUCUAUGCAUUACAGAGCACAUUCAGAAGGGAAAAUUAACCAAAGACAUCUUAUUUAAUGAAAUAUUUCUACAAUGAUCAAAAGCCAGUUCCCUUCUGAUGAUGGCGUAAUUAAAUGAUUUUGAUGCUUAAACAGCAUUUGGUAUCCCAAUAUCUUAUGCAUGUGCUGAGAGUUUAUACCAUGGGCACAUCCAAGAUGAAUUCAACUUUCAAGAAACCUUUUUAUUUAGUCAUUCAUGAAAGAACAAUGAAUGUGUUUAGUUACUUCGGUUCUAUAGCUUUAUUCUAAAUCUCUUUUAACUCAAGCUAAAUCCAAAGAUCUAAGAAAGACUUAAUUAGCAAAAGCAACACUUACUCUUACUUAUGUAACAUAAUUCUCUUUUCACUGACGUUGACAAAGCCCUAUUGGCAGUGCCCAAUUUGGAAUGUAGUAGCAUGUCAUUUGCUUAUCAUAGAAUGGUCGUAUAUAUUUCAGGUUUUAGGGUUUAUUUUUAUUUUUUUAAUAUUGGCUGUUAUUUAUUUAUUAAUGCAAUUGAGACAAAGUUUAAUUAUUUAUAAUUUAAAGUGAACAAUGCUAUAUUUUUAAAUUAAUUCCUUUUUUCUUG